rnacentral:rRNA from 1 species
GACGAACGCUGGCGGCGUGCUUAACACAUGCAAGUCGAACGGAAAGGCCCCUUUGGGGGUACUCGAGUGGCGAACGGGUGAGUAACACGUGAGUAACCUGCCCUUGACUUCGGGAUAACUUCAGGAAACUGGGGCUAAUACCGGAUAGGAAUCCUUGCUGCAUGGUGGGGGUUGGAAAGCUUCGGCGGUUUUGGAUGGACUCGCGGCUUAUCAGCUUGUUGGUGGGGUAGUGGCUUACCAAGGCUUUGACGGGUAGCCGGCCUGAGAGGGCGACCGGCCACAUUGGGACUGAGAUACGGCCCAGACUCCUACGGGAGGCAGCAGUGGGGAAUAUUGCACAUGGGCGGAAGCCUGAUGCAGCAACGCCGCGUGCGGGAUGACGGCCUUCGGGUUGUAAACCGCUUUCAGCAGGGGCGAAGCUUGUGGUGACGGUACCUGCAGAAGAAGCACCGGCUAACUACGUG